AGAGUUUGAUCAUGGCUCAGGAUAAACGCUGGCGGCGCACAUAAGACAUGCAAGUCGAACGGACUUAAUCGAAAUAUUUAUAUUUUGAAGCGGUUAGUGGCGGACUGGUGAGUAACGCGUAAGGAACCUGCCUAUUAGAGGGGAAUAACAGUGAGAAAUCAUUGCUAAUACCGCAUAUGCCAUAGAUAUCACAUGAUAACAGUGGGAAAGGAGCAAUCCGCUAAUAGAUGGCCUUGCGUCUGAUUAGAUAGUUGGUGGGGUAACGGCCUACCAAGUCGACGAUCAGUAGCCGGACUGAGAGGUUGAACGGCCACAUUGGGACUGAGAUACGGCCCA
rnacentral:rRNA from 1 species